UGCUUCCUUUUUAGUCCUGCGCAUGUGGGCAGAGUACAAGCUAAUUGGCAGGGCUGUUCCAAAUCCUAAAGAACGCGCGCGCUGCCUGCUCGCCAGCGGGAGGGCCGUGUGCCCAGCUUGCGCCCUGACAUUUUCCGAGGCCUGGGCGAGGCCACCUGCCUGACGAAGGCUUACCAGGGAAAAUCAGGUCCUGACAGCCUGACAGGGACAACCGCCCAGAGGAUUCAUCUGCUCGCGAUGCCUGGUCAGCAAGGAGGAGACUCGACCUGGGACGAGGAAGAGGCCUUGAAGGGACAGAGGAGAGCGCAUCCUCCAUCCCCCGGCCAGGGAGAAGUCACGCGGACCCCCAGGUUGCUGGGCCGCGAUGGGGGGAAGAGGAGACCACCCCCAGCUCCGCAGCGAGCGCCCUCACUUCGGGGAGACAGAGGCGUCGAUCCCUCCUGCGGACGGCUGGGGGCGCUGCGCUUCAACCGAAGGCAGAGAUCCUGGACCGGGGCGAGGCAAGCCCUCCCGGAGGAGAGGAGCUCUGAAGGGGGAAAACAGCUCUGCAGAGUGUAGAGGAGCCGGACUUUGCAGCCAGGUACCUCUGUGCAAGUCUCAGCUGUGCCUCUGAAGUAGCUAGCCGUUGCCCAGCACUGUGCUAAGGUCUUUUCAUCACUGUGUAAUUGAAGGCUCACAGCCACCCUUUAAGGAAAACGAUCUUGUCGUCAUUAUUUUAUAAGAAAUGGAAUGGAAGCUCAGUGCCACCCCUAGCCCAUGGACACAUUCCCAGAGAGCGGCAGUGUGUCUGGCCUGGAACUUAAUGAAUUCUGUCGGACAGAAGUCCAUGCUCUUAACCAUUAGGCCUCCCAUACAAAGAUACUUUGUACGGGGACAUGAGACACAGCCUAAUAGCACAGAAACUCACAGAGGACGAGUUUCUUAGUUUUGUCAUCUCUGAAAUGGGAAUAAUAAUAUUACUCCCACCUUGCAAGGCUUUGGGAAAGAUUAGAGAGAAUGUAAAAAGGUCCAUGUGAGAGGUCCUCGUGGGUUAAUGUGUGGGGGGAGUCCCCAGUCCCUCCCCGGGCACUCAGAGCGAUGUGGGAAGACUGUGGAGCCCAUGCUUAUUGAUGCUGUUUCAUUUCAAUUAAACCUCCGUCAGAAACAUCGCAUGACAUCAAAAUGGAAGAGAUGUUGAGUCUGAACGGUGCUGCCUCCGCAACCCAGGAUCCUACCAGCUGCAGAAG
rnacentral:lncRNA from 10 species